GAGACCCCCAUCCUUUGUUGCUAAGCUUUCUCUACGGAGGGAGCCGCACACGGAGGAGACUGCCAGUGUUAAACUGGAGGAGGGAGGGGGCUACGGCAGGUCAGCAUGCCCCGAAUCUCCCGGGCCACACGCGGGCUGCAAUGGCGAGGACAGCGGGUUCCGACCCCGAAAGGGGAAGGUAAUCCCUUAAACCUCGCCGUAGUUGGGACUGAGGGCUGUAACCCGCCCUCAUGAACAUGGAAUCCCUAGUAACCGCACGUCACCAUCGCGCGGUGAAUAC
rnacentral:rRNA from 1 species